rnacentral:rRNA from 1 species
AAUUGGAGGGCAAGUCUGGUGCCAGCAGCCGCGGUAAUUCCAGCUCCAAUAGCGUAUAUUAAAGUUGUUGCAGUUAAAAAGCUCGUAGUUGAAUUUCGGGAUCAGUACGCCGGUCGUGCCUCCGGUAUGUACUGGUGUCACUGAUUCCUCCCUUCUGAAGAACCAUCAUGCCAUUCACUUGGUGUGGUGGGGAAUCAGGACUGUUACUUUGAAAAAAUUAGAGUGUUUAAAGCAGGCUCACGCUUGAAUACAUUAGCAUGGAAUAAUGAAAUAGGACGUUGAUCCUAUUUUGUUGGUUUCUAGGAUUGACGUAAUGAUUAAUAGGGAUAGUUGGGGGCAUUAGUAUUCAAUUGUCAGAGGUGAAAUUCUUGGAUUUAUUGAAGACUAACUACUGCGAAAGCAUUUGCCAAGGAUGUUUUCAUUAAUCAAGAACGAAAGUUAGGGGAUCGAAGACGAUCAGAUACCGUCGUAGUCUUAACCAUAAACUAUGCCGACUAGGGAUCGGAUGAUGUUAAUUUUUUAAUGACUCAUUCGGCGCCUUACGGGAAACCAAAGUGU